AACGUUUUGCACCGGUUUGCAACGUUUUCUGAUUGAACGACAUGUUUCCUUGCAGCGUUGCGCAACGUUCUGCAACGGGCUUCGAGGUAUGUUUUCUCCAGUUUGGUGGGCGUGUCUUAGGUGUUAUCCAAUCAGCUGCCACAAGUUUGUAAACACAACGGCAUUAGAAAGGCAAGAAAAUGCAGUGCGCUUGCGUACACAGCAGGGUGUUCAAGGCAACACCGUUUCCAUUGAAAAAAACGUUUUUCUACGUUUUGUCGGCGCUGAACUCGCCCCAGAAGCAGGACACCUGUGCCUCCUUAAGAGUUGAUUUAUUGGGAACACUCAACAUUUCUCUGUAGGCAUAUUGUGUUCCAGUGUGGCUAGAGAGCAGGCAUUUUAAGCCACCUGUUGUCCAGACUUUGUUGGUCGAAUAGCCUGUUAUGCUAGAGUUCACCGCAGAGAAGGCAUUGGUGGUUGAUAACCCUGAGUGGGCCUAAAUGUCUGAUCCGUAACUGAGGUGGAGUCGGAGCUGGGUUGACUAUCUUCUGCACUGUUUGAGGAUUGUAUGGCCACUGCUGUUUUGCCUGCCUGAUCAACUCCUGCUAUUCGUGCUAGUAUUUUUAUGUGGGUUCUUGUUUGAUUAGAUUGUUACAGGUGGAUGGGCCCUGUGAAUGUGUUUGCCAACUGCAAAGGUCUGCUAUGGGUGUGGCCAUUUUCCCU